AUGAUACUUCCUCCUUUUCAAAAUUUUUGUUUUAUCUUUGUUUAGAAAUGAAUGUAUCUAAAUACUAAAACUUGACUAGAUACAUUCGUAUCUAAACAAAUCUAAGACAAGAAUUUUGGGACGGAGAGAGUACUAG
rfam:Hordeum vulgare subsp. vulgare, WGS project CAJW01000000 data, contig: morex_contig_1559956